rnacentral:rRNA from 1 species
GAUGAGCGCUGGCGGCGUGCUUAACACAUGCAAGUCGAACGGAAAGGCUCCUGCUUGCAGGGGUACUCGAGUGGCGAACGGGUGAGUAACACGUGGGUGAUCUGCCCUGCACUUCGGGAUAAGCCUGGGAAACUGGGUCUAAUACCGGAUAGGACGAUGGUUUGGAUGCCAUUGUGGAAAGUUUUUUCGGUGUGGGAUGAGCUCGCGGCCUAUCAGCUUGUUGGUGGGGUAAUGGCCUACCAAGGCGUCGACGGGUAGCCGGCCUGAGAGGGUGUACGGCCACAUUGGGACUGAGAUACGGCCCAGACUCCUACGGGAGGCAGCAGUGGGGAAUAUUGCACAACGGGCGCAAGCCUGAUGCAGCGACGCCGCGUGGGGGAUGACGGCCUUCGGGUUGUAAACUCCUUUCGCUAGGGACGAAGCGCAAGUGACGGUACCUGGAGAAGAAGCACCGGCUAACUACGUG